rnacentral:rRNA from 1 species
ACCAACAGGGAUUGCCUUAGUAACUGCGAGUGAAGCGGCAAGAGCUCAAAUUUGAAAUCUGGCACCUUCGGUGUCCGAGUUGUAAUUUGUAGAAGCAUCUUUUGGAUUGGUCCUUGCAUAUGUUCCUUGGAACAGGACAUCAUAGAGGGUGAGAAUCCCGUUCAUGGUGGGGAAUCCAAUUCUUUGUAAAGUGCUUUCGAAGAGUCGAGUUGUUUGGGAAUGCAGCUCUAAGUGGGUGGUAAAUUCCAUCUAAAGCUAAAUAUUGGCGAGAGACCGAUAGCGAACAAGUACAGUGAUGGAAAGAUGAAAAGAACUCCGAAAGGAGAGUGAAAAAGGACGUGAAAUUGUUGAAAGGGAAGUGCUUGAGAUCAGUCUUAAGGUUUAGUGAUCAGUCUUCCUUUUGGUUGGUGCACUCACUAUUUCUUAGGCCAACAUCAGUUUUGGCGGCAGGAUAAUGACAUUGGAAUGUGGCUCUUUCGGGAGUGUUAUAGCCUUUGUUGAUACUGCCUGCUUAGACUGAGGACUGCGCUUUUGCUAGGAUGUUGGCAUAAUGAUCUUAAGCA